rnacentral:sRNA from 1 species
CGCCCGUCACACCAUGAGAGUUGGUAAUACCAGAAGCAUGUAUCUUAACCGCAAGGAGAGAGCGUACCAAGGUAGGACUAGCGAUUAGGGUGAAGUCGUAACAAGGUAUCCGUACGGGAACGUGCGGAUGGAUCACCUCCUUUCUAUGGAGUUAACAUAGAUUAGAGAAAGCUGAGCGAAUCGAUAAAACAGCUUUUGAUUAUAUUUGGUUCUAUCUAGUUUUCAGAGAUUAUUUCGGGCCUUUGGGCCCUGAUAAUUUCUGAACAAGAAAAAUCGUUCUUUGAAAACUGAAUAUUAGAUGAAAAUAGACAUUUUAUUUUUCUUACGUUUCAUAAUUUAUUAUUUAAACGUAUUUAGUAACUUUAAAAUUUACUAAGAAAAACUAAAAUUUCAAUAUAUUUAUAGAUUAUCUAUAUAUCAAUAGGAUUUCUUUUUAAGAAAGUAUAGUAAGGGCAUAUGGUGAAUGCCUUGGAAAAUGGAGCCGAUGAAGGACGUGACUACCUGCGAAAAGUUUCGGGGAGCUGGAAGUGAGCUUUGAUCCGGAAAUGUCCGAAUGGGGAAACCUACUAUGAUUAAUCUCAUAGUGUCCACAACUGAAUACAUAGGUUGUGUGAUGGGAACCUAGGGAACUGAAACAUCUUAGUACCUAGAGGAAAAGAAAACGAAUGUGAUUCUGUGAGUAGCGGCGAGCGAAAGCGGAACAGGCCAAACCUGUCUACGGGCAGGGGUUGUAGGACUCUUGUUAGAGUUACAAAGUUAGUGUAUAGCAGAAGCUGUUGGGAAGCAGCGGCGUAGAGGGUGAUACCCCCGUAUGCGAAAUGCACUAACCUCGAGAGAGUAUCCUGAGUACGGCGGGGCACGUGAAACCCUGUCGGAAUCCACCCAGACCACUGGGUAAGCCUAAAUACUACCAUUUUACCGAUAGUGAACCA